rnacentral:rRNA from 1 species
AGCUCCAAUAGCGUAUAUUAAAGUUGUUGCGGUUAAAAAGCUCGUAGUUGGAUUUCUGUCGAAGUCGGCCGGUCUCUACUUCGUAGAUGUAUCUGGUUCGGUUUUGGCAUCCUCCUGGGGAGCCGCUCUGUGCUUGAUUGCACGGUCGGAUAUUCAGGACUUUUACUUGAGGAAAUUAGAGUGUUCACAGCAAGCUUUCGCUUUGAAUACAUUAGCAUGGAAUAAUAAUAUAGGGCGUGAGUCUUAUUUUGUUGGUUUCUAGGACACACGCAAUGAUUAAUAGGGACAAUUGGGGGCAUUCGUAUUAACGCGUCAGAGGUGGAAUUCUUAGAUUGCGUUACGACGAACUACUGCGAAAGCAUUUGCCAAGGAUGUUUUCA